rnacentral:rRNA from 1 species
AUUGAACGCUGGCGGAAUGCUUUACACAUGCAAGUCGAACGGUAGAGGGGGCAACCCCUUGAGAGUGGCGAACGGGUGAGUAAUAUAUCGGAACGUGCCCAGUCGUGGGGAUAACGUAGCGAAAGUUACGCUAAUACCGCAUACGAUCUAAGGAUGAAAGCGGGGGAUCGCAAGACCUCGCGCGAUUGGAGCGGCCGAUAUCAGAUUAGGUAGUUGGUGAGGUAAAGGCUCACCAAGCCGACGAUCUGUAGCUGGUCUGAGAGGACGACCAGCCACACUGGGACUGAGACACGGCCCAGACUCCUACGGGAGGCAGCAGUGGGGAAUUUUGGACAAUGGGCGCAAGCCUGAUCCAGCCAUGCCGCGUGCAGGAUGACGGUCCUAUGGAUUGUAAACUGCUUUUGUACAGGAAGAAACACUGGUUCGUGAACCAGCUUGACGGUACUGUAAGAAUAAGGAUCGGCUAACUCCGUGCCAGCAGCCG